UCUUUGAUGAGUCAUACUAUGUUCUUCUCUGCCGUCUCGUGUUUGUGUGCUGAGGAAUUUGUUAUUUAUUUUAUUUGUUGCUGCUUUUUGGAUUACCUGCAUCACCUCAAUAAAGCUUUCUUUUUGUUUAUGAAGUCUGCUUCAGAAGCUUGAAUUGGUCUACAACCUACAACCCUUGAUGCCAGUGGUCACCAGUAAAACUGACGUUUAUUCACCAUUCUUUUGUAGAUUUGCUGGUGUUGGGAUCUGUAUGCAUCCGUAUGGGACUGGGAUCAUUGUCUUGUUGCAUGACCCAGUUUUGGCCAAGCUGUAGCUGUCGGACAGAUGGCCUCACAUUGCUUUGAUAUACAGAGGAGUUCAUGGGCGACUUAAUGUGUGCAAGGUGCUCAGGUUCUGUGGCUCGUAAGGAAGACCAAAUCACCAUCCCUCUACUAUGGUUGAGUCGAUAUGAGGUCUUUGUGCAUUAUGCCCAAACAUCUCAACUUCGGAGAAAUACACUGUUGCAAAUUAAAGCUGUACUGCAAUGUUCUUUUCAAAGAGAAGAAUCUUUCUUCUGACAACAUUUCCAAACAAGCCAUACUUUUCAGUCUUUUUCUGAUUGUAAUGUCAUGAACUUUAACAUUUAAUAUGCUAACUAAUGCCUGGAGAGUCUGAGAUGGAGCUCUGAAGGUUUUUUGCAAUUUCUCAGAGCAUUGCACAAUCUGACCUUUGGCUAAAUUUGCAUGCACA